UAGCUCAGUUGGUAGAGUGUUUGUCUUACAAGCACAAGACUCUGGGUUCAAUCCCCAG
rnacentral:tRNA from 1 species